AAAGAAUAUAUGUGCACUCGAAUAUUAAUCAUAACCUCAAAAUAUACACCACAUACACGAAAUAUCACAUAUACCAUCGAAAAGUCAUUUAUAAGGUUUCAUUGCGCGGUGUCAUUUAUGUUGUCAUCGAUGAGAGGUAUAAUGAAUCCCUCCAUCGCAUGGAUAGCAUACACACAAAAAAUUUUACAAUGGCCACAACAAGUACGUUUGCUAGGUGAUCCACACUCACAAAUACCUAUCC
rnacentral:lncRNA from 1 species